rnacentral:rRNA from 1 species
GUCGGGAAUUUUGGCAAUGGGCGAAAGCCUGACCCAGCAACGCCGCGUGAGGGAUGAAGUAUUUCGGUAUGUAAACCUCGAAAGAAUGGGAAGAAUAAAUGACGGUACCAUUUAUAAGCUCCGGCUAACUACGUGCCAGCAGCCGCGGUAAUACGUAGGGAGCAAGCGUUGUUCGGAUUUACUGGGCGUAAAGGGCGCGUAGGCGGCGCGGUAAGUCACUUGUGAAAUCUCUGAGCUUAACUCAGAACGGCCAAGUGAUACUGCUGUGCUAGAGUGCGGAAGAGGCAACCGGAAUUCUUGGUGUAGCGGUGAAAUGCGUAGAUAUCAAGAGGAACACCUGAGGCGAAGGCGGGUUGCUGGGCCGACACUGACGCUGAUGCGCGAAAGCCAGGGGAGCAAAC